UUCAGGGGUAAACCUGAGAAGCCCGAAAGGUCGAAAGGGGAAAUUCAUUCGCGUCUCGGCCGUCGGCGAGGAGUGGUCGAGUGACGGACGUGUCGCGUUCGCGCGAGACGUCCGCGCCUUCCGUUCUUCGAACCGGCGUCGAACGCGUGCACUUUUCCCCUAGUAGGACGUCGCGAUCCGUUGGGUGUCGGUCUACGGUCCGCGGUGGAGUCCGUGCGGUCGCUUCGCGGCGUAUCGCACGAACCCGCGGAAUUUCUGCCUGGCCGACCCGCUCGACGGUAUACAGAUGGCGCGGAGCCGCUAACACACAAUUAGCGUCCGGCCCGCGGCAAGCGCGUCCGGCGUUCGACGAUGAUCGGACCCGGUGCCGGUCUCGUCCCCGGACGACUGUUGGCCGCGGUGCUCUCGGACAGACUCCGAUUUCGAAACGCCGAUCUGCGACGCUAUAGCUUUGGGUACUUUCAGGACCCACGGACCAAGGAGUCUAGCAUGUGCGCGAGUCAUUGGGACAUAACUAAACCUAAAGGCGCAAUGAAAGUGAAGGUCCGCCUCGCGCGGAUCGAGGGAGGAUGGGCGGUAUACUCGUCUCGUCUCACGACGACGACGAUCUCGCCCUCAAAGCGGCCGCCCCGCACUCCCGGGGCGUCUCGUUCUCAUCGCGAGAAGAGGCGCACCAAGAGC
rnacentral:rRNA from 1 species